CCUACGGGUGGCAGCAGGGAGGAAGAGGGGUCAAUGGGCGCGAGCCUGAACCAGCCAAGUAGCGUGAAGGAUGACUGCCCGACGGGAGGGAAACUUCGGUUAUAAAGGAAUAAAGUGAGGCACGUGUGCCAUGGUGGAUGUACUUUAUGAAUAAGGAUCGGCUAACUCCGUGCCAGCAGCCGCGGUAAUACGGAGGAUCCGAGCGUUCUCCGGAUUUAGGGGGGGUAAAGGGAGCGUAGAGGGGUUGUUAAGUCAGUUGUGAAAGUUUGCGGCUCUACCGUAAAAUUGCAAGUGAUACUGGCAGUCUUGAGUACAGUUGCGGUCGGCGGUCUUCGUGGUGUCGCGG
rnacentral:rRNA from 1 species